GCCCGUGUGGCGCAAUUGGUUAGCGCGUCAGACUUUUAAGACAAUAGAAGUCAAUCUGAAUGUUGCGAGUUCGAGUCUCGCCAUGGGCG